rnacentral:rRNA from 1 species
CGCGUAGGCGGCUUGAUAAGUCAAAGGUGAAAUCCCUCGGCUCAACUGAGGAACUGCCUUUGAAACUGUCAGGCUCGAGGCCGGGGAGGGGGUAGCGGAAUUCCCAGUGUAGCGGUGAAAUGCGUAGAUAUUGGGAGGAACACCAGUGGCGAAGGCGGCUACCUGGACCGGUUCUGACGCUGAUGCGCGAAAGCGUGGGUAGCAAACA